GAAAACAGUAUUUCGGGGACAGCUCAUAAGGGUGGAGUCCAUUACCGUCGUCUGCAGAUGAGAUGGCCCUGCCUAUGGCUUAGAUGUCCAUUUAGAAAGGAGUCUUAAGUUUUCAUUCUUUCUCAAGCCAUGUUCUUUCCAUCUUACAUAACUCGUUCCGAGCUCCUAGUCACGUGAGGUCCCGUGAUGCCUCGUCACUCGCAAACUUCAGCACUAUGCCUGGAACAGUUAGAACUCUGGAUCCACUUGAUAAACAAAUGUGAAAGAGAAACUGCCUUUCAAGCUUAAAUUUGCCUCCUUCCUAUUGUCUCAUUGAUGAAUCGUGAGAACUGUUGAGGUAAACAGUGCUCGACCAAGAAGAUGGUCCACCAAUCCACCGAUCUUUCUUCUAAAGCUCCCUAAGAAAGUUAAAAAGGGACUAACAUAGAAAACUUUGAAACUGUGGAAGGAAAGAAAGUAAAGGUUUCAUUAAUAGACACUGUAUCAUUUCCAGAAAUUUCCUCUCAAAAGAAACAAGAAAAUCCACUUACCGAGUUCCACAUCAAAUCCAAGCAAACGACAGAAGCUUGAGCUAUGGUUUUUGCAAUGGAUUCAUGGUUCAGCAUGAGGAUAACUGACAGCUUUAUAUCGCCAAGGCUUCCUGAUCCAAGGAUGAGUGUACAGCCCAUCUUUCCAUGUGUCUGACCCAUCUUUAAUGACCCCCCAAUCCUGCCUUCAGCUCCAGCCUUAUUUGUCUUGCCACUCCCUGGUGCCAGCAUACUCCUGCUAUCCUUAAUGACUUUCAUGUCUCAAAGUCACCAUGCCUUUUGUGCUCCUCCACCUUUGUACAGACUGUUCUGCCCUCCCGGGAACACCCUCUGCCCUCUCCCUCCUUCCCGUGACUAACUCAGACUGACUGUUCCACACUGGGUUAAGUCUUCUCGUCAGAGAAACUUUAUUAAGACAGUAUCCCCCUUUUUUUGUCCCGAUGACCCCCAACCCAGUCAUUGUUCAAUUCUGGUGGAAUAGUUUAUAUAUUUAUAUGCUAACAAUAGCUAGAAAUUUCAGGAGAGGGACUAUAUUCUGUAUCAGGGUACUGUGACAUCCAGCUGAUUCUCAUUAGACAAGUGAGUGUUGACAUCUGUGAGUGUUUAUGCAGCUUGGGGAUCACCGUGAUGACAGUCACUGCCAGAGUCCAGAAGCGCCCUGGACCCUGAGAUACUGGUGUUUGUGAAUGUUUCCUCCCUUAGAGGUGGCUUCAUAUACACCUUCAAAACUUGACCACUCUUUGGAACAUUUGCUUCCAAUGUCUAUUCAAAUUACUAAAGACCGUCCCAGCUUCUGCCUAGAAGUUGAAGGGCUGAAAUGAGAAGUGCUUACAUCCAAAGAUGAAGGCGCUUCUGGAACUCUUUUGUCUGAGACCAGAACCAUUUUCAGACAGGAUACUUCAGAGAGUAGCCUGCUCCUGCAUUCCGGAAACCGUCCCAGGCUGCUUCCACUAUUGGAGACUUUGGUGCUGAUGAAGAAACGAUAUCCUGAGUUUAAAAUGGGUGCCUAAGAGAAUAAAUAUGAACUAAUAGCCUUCUUCUGUGGGGGUCACGUGAUAAGAUCUGAAGCGUCAUUCACUGGCAUUUCUGACUAAUGAACGAGCAAAGUCCUUUCUCUAAAAGGUACACGAGCAACCUCAGUCACUUGUCUUUGCCAUGCGCUAGUGGAGUAUGCAGCUUCUCUAUCUCUUAGUGGCCAGAGGCGGAGGUCUCAGUGCUUCCUUGGUCUCAUCAGGGUGGACAUGCUUUUUUUCCACUAAAAGGGUGCAACGUGAACCAUUCUUCUCUGCUCACUGAGAGUGUAACCGGGUAGAGCUGUUGCCGGUAUCGUCAGUAGUCAUGGCCUUACCAUAUUCACUUCUGUGGUUAACAUCUCAGAUUAUCAAAGGGAGCACUGUAAGAACUGACAGAGUCAAGAUCCACUCAAUGAAGGUGCUUCUGGAACUGUUCAAUUCUGAGAGUUUGUAGUGUAGGUGGAUUGGACAUUCUCAGAGACAGGACUUUGUAACCCAUAAAGGUUAAACCCAGUUCAGAGAAACACUCUACUUGAGAAGGAGUUGGAUGCAAAAACAAAGAUAAAUGAACACAUUCUAUUUAGCCAUGUGUUACAGCAGAUAAAAAUGAUCUGAGAACCGAUUGUUCUUAAGAACCAGGAAAGAAACCAAACUGGUAAGAUCUAGUUCUUCUAAUGCUUCAAUGUGUUCUAGUUCUCCUUAAGGUAGCACUAGCACUCAGUCUGCAGACUUAAAACAUAAAAAACAAACAAACAAACAACAAGAAGUGAUUCACACAAUCGAACCCCAGGGUGCCCAGGUAGGAGGCAGUACAAUCCUUGGGCUGAACUAAAAGAACACAGAUGGGGUGCUAGCUCUUAUUUCCAUCGCUGUAAAACCACUGUCCGUCUCAUCAGAUAUAAGAUGAAGCCACGCGCCUCAUUGGUAUGCUUCGUGUGUUGUAAGGGGCAUGGCAUGCCUCGUUGUUUUUAUUGAGGAAACCUGGCAUAAGCUCCCUUGUCCCAUGUGUUUGCAAAACAAAUGUUCAAAUUCAGAAUAAUGCCCUAAUGCCCUGGUUCUCAAUCUUUAAUGCAGUUCCUCACCCUGUGGUGACCUCCAACCAUAAAAUAAUUUUGUUGCGCCUUCAUAACUGUACUUUUGCUACUGUUAUAAACUAUAAUGUAAUAUCUGUUAUGUAGUAUAUCUGAUAUGUGACCCCCAAAAGGGUCUUGACCCUCAGGUUGAGAACCACUGGUCUAAUGAGACUUUAAGAACUCAUAGCUAUUCUUCAAAACAACUAUCUUUUUCUGUCUCUCUACUCACACUCAGAUAUAUUAAUUGUACACACAUGCUACAGGCUUGCUUAGACAGUGAUUCAAGUGCUAGUUUUGCCUGAUGUCUCUGAAGCCUUAGCCUAUUCCUGGGGCCGGUUUACACUUCUGCUUAACGCCUCCACAAAGGAACUUUGUUGCAGCAGGAAUAGGGAGUAGCCAUACAGAGUCUGCUAUCUUAGCAGAUACAGGACUCAUCUGCUGACCCUGACCUGGAUUAUGUUUCAUUGAAGGGGUGACUUUUCUGAGAGUGAGGGACUCUUUACCUGGGUACACAUUAUAAAUGCUUUCCCCAUUUUGGUAUAUUUUACAAUUUUCUUGGAGUCUGUACACACACACACACACACACACACACACACACACACACACACACACACCUUUACAAACAUGCUAAAGAAAGAAAGCACAUUUAACGGUUCCACUCUAAAGAGAGCAUGCUGUUUUGAUGAGCAUUUUGUUUCUUUCAAAUAAACAUUGUUAUGACUUUAUCCUAGAGAUUUGGAGAAAAGCCACUAAAUAAAUGCACUAAAGCCUGAA